GGAGCAUACAAGAUGGUGAACUGAAUGAACACUGAGGUUUGACUGCUUAUUCCUUGAUGAACCCUCUGUAAAAUUUGGCCGAAUGUCAAAAAAGCAGAGAGACAGCUUGUAUGCAGAAGUACAGAAACACCGGAUGCAGCAGCAGCAGCGCGACCACCAGCAGCAGCCUGGAGAGGCUGAGCCGCUGACGCCCACCUACAACAUCUCAGCCAACGGGCUGACGGAACUUCACGACGACCUCAGUAACUACAUUGACGGGCACACCCCUGAGGGGAGUAAGGCAGACUCCGCCGUCAGCAGCUUCUACCUGGACAUACAGCCUUCCCCAGACCAGUCAGGUCUUGAUAUCAAUGGAAUCAAACCAGAACCAAUAUGUGACUACACACCAGCAUCAGGCUUCUUUCCCUACUGUUCGUUCACCAACGGCGAGACUUCCCCAACAGUGUCCAUGGCAGAAUUAGAACACCUUGCACAGAAUAUAUCUA
rnacentral:sRNA from 1 species